rnacentral:rRNA from 1 species
UACGUAGGGUGCAAGCGUUAAUCGGAAUUACUGGGCGUAAAGCGUGCGCAGGCGGUUAUGUAAGACAGAUGUGAAAUCCCCGGGCUUAACCUGGGAACUGCGUUUGAAGCUACAAGGCUAGAGUGUGACAGAGGGGGGUGGAAUUCCACGUGUAGCAGUGAAAUGCGUAGAGAUCCGGAGGAACACCAAAGGCGAAGGCAGUGUCCUGGGGAGUACCUGACGCUCAGGUGCGAAAGCCAGGGGAGCGAACGGG